rnacentral:lncRNA from 1 species
AUGGUGGAGAGGAGAAGAAAGCACCCUCAGCACAGGGGCGCUGUCAGGAAGCAGGAGAGCUGCUGCCCACAGACGCCACGGUGGCCGAGAGGCUCAGAAAGUUUCCUGAUCUUGAUGUUAUUGGACAGCCCGGGACCUGGGGCUCCCACCAGCGUGCUGAGUGUCACAGAGGCCAAGAGAGUAGGGAUCUCCUUAGGGUCUGCCAGGAGGAGGUGUUUCUCGGGUGGUUCCUGGGCCUUGGCCGACCGGUGCAGAGUGUGCAAGAUGGGAGGGAGUGGACACGAGGGGUGGGGGUGGGGGUCACCACUUGGCAGGAGGAAGGUGGGAUCCAGGGCACCCCGGGCCAGGACUCAGGACUCCUCCACGCCUCCCCUUCAACCUCUGGAUGGAGCCACAGGGCGCUGCCGGCUGCUCCAUCCACAGAGAGACAGGGGUCGCCCGGAGCCAAGACAGAGACACUGGGCCAAGGGCCACUGGUCACUCAGAAGGACCCUCCAGAGAUCCUCCAGGUGCCUAGUCCCCUCAGGCCUCCACAGUGUUGAGGGGGCAGGAGUUCUGGUGUUACAAGAGUGGGCUGGUGCAUGCGGGGGGCCUCAGACCCCACAGCAGCCCCUGGGCAGCAGGAAGGCAUGGGCUGGAGGGAGGUGGGGGCUCUGCACACCCUCAGAAAUGGUGACCUUUCCAGCCCCUCCCCAACACCCAGCGGCCCUGGACUACUGCCAGGGCUCCGCUUGGCCAAAGAGAGAAACCUCCUACGUGCUGGCACCAGGUACCCACCUGCAGGGCCGCACUCUCAGCGCCAAACCCCACCCCCUCCCCAACCUGUCCGAUGAGCUCCCUCCAGACAAGCUCCUCCAGACUUUCCCAAAAGGCCUCAGCCCCCAGGCACUUCCUGCAAAGCUUCAGCCUCACGUGGAGGAAAGGCUGCUGUCCACCGGACAUCAGCACACGGGGUCAAGGCCCCGGAACCUCCUGGGGCAGAUCCCGGUGUCCCUGUAUUGA